UGGGGAAUAUUGCACAAUGGGCGNAACCCUGAUGCAGCGACGCCGCGUGAGGGAUGACGGCCUUCGGGUUGUAAACCUCUUUCAGUAGGGAAGAAGCGAAUGUGACGGUACCUGCAGAAGAAGCNGCCGGCUAACUACAGU
rnacentral:rRNA from 1 species